UACAGAGGGUGCGAGCGUUGUUCGGAAUUAUUGGGCGUAAAGGGCGCGUAGGCGGUGCCACAAGUCACUUGUGAAAUCUCCGGGCUUAACUCGGAGCCUGCAGGCGAAACUGUGGUGCUGGAGUGUGGGAGAGGUGCGUGGAACUCCCGGUGUAGCGGUGAAAUGCGUAGAUAUCGGGAGGAACACCUGUGGCGAAAGCGCUUGUCUGGCCCAAUACUGACGCUGAGGCGCGAAAGCUAGGGGAGCAAACGGG
rnacentral:rRNA from 1 species